rnacentral:rRNA from 1 species
AGUGAACGCUGGCGGUAGGCCUAACACAUGCAAGUCGAACGGCAGCACAGUAAGAGCUUGCUCUUACGGGUGGCGAGUGGCGGACGGGUGAGGAAUACAUCGGAAUCUACUUUUUCGUGGGGGAUAACGUAGGGAAACUUACGCUAAUACCGCAUACGACCUACGGGUGAAAGCAGGGGAUCUUCGGACCUUGCGCGAUUGAAUGAGCCGAUGUCGGAUUAGCUAGUUGGCGGGGUAAAGGCCCACCAAGGCGACGAUCCGUAGCUGGUCUGAGAGGAUGAUCAGCCACACUGGAACUGAGACACGGUCCAGACUCCUACGGGAGGCAGCAGUGGGGAAUAUUGGACAAUGGGCGCAAGCCUGAUCCAGCCAUACUGCGUGGGUGAAGAAGGCCUUCGGGUUGUAAAGCCCUCUUGUUGGGAAAGAAAAGCAGCAGGUUAAUACCCCGCUGUUCUGACGGUACCCAAAGAAUAAGCACCGGCUAACUUCGUG